AGGACGAACGCUGGCGGCGUGCUUAACACAUGCAAGUCGAGCGGUAAGGCCUUUCGGGGUACACAAGCGGCGAACGGGUGAGUAACACGUGGGUGAUCUGCCCUGCACUCUGGGAUAAGCCUGGGAAACUGGGUCUAAUACCGGAUAUGACCUGCUCUCGCAUGGGGGUGGGUGGAAAGAUUUAUCGGUGCAGGAUGGGCCCGCGGCCUAUCAGCUUGUUGGUGGGGUAAUGGCCUACCAAGGCGACGACGGGUAGCCGACCUGAGAGGGUGACCGGCCACACUGGGACUGAGACACGGCCCAGACUCCUACGGGAGGCAGCAGUGGGAAUAUGCACAAUGGGCGAAAGCCUGAUGCAGCGACGCCGCGUGAGGGAUGGAAGGCCUUCGGGUUGUAAACCUCUUUCAGCAGGUACGAAGCGCAAGUGACGGACCUGCAGAAGAGCACCGGCUAACUACGUGCCAGCAGCCGA
rnacentral:rRNA from 1 species